UACGGAGGAUGCAAGCGUUGCUCGGAAUUAUUGGGCGUAGAGCGUAUGUAGGCGGUUUUGUAAGUCAGCAGUGAAGGCCCUCAGCUUAACUGAGGAAGUGCUGUUGAAACUACUUUGCUAGAGUACCAGAGGGGAGAGCGGAAUUCCCAGUGUAGAGGUGAAAUUCGUAGAUAUUGGGAGGAACACCAGUGGCGAAGGCGGCUCUCUGGAUGGAUACUGACGCUGAGAUACGAAAGCAUGGGGAGCAAACAGG
rnacentral:rRNA from 1 species